rnacentral:rRNA from 1 species
CCUACGGGAGGCAGCAGUGAGGAAUAUUGGUCAAUGGACGAGAGUCUGAACCAGCCAAGUAGCGUGAAGGAUGACGGCCCGAGGGGUUGUAAACUUCUUUUAUAAAGGAAUAAAACGAGGCACGUGUGCCGUUGUGCAUGUACUUUAGGAAUAAGGAUAGGCUAACUCCGUGCCAGCAGCCGCGGUAAUACGGAGGAUCCGAGCGGUAUCCGGAUUUAUUGGGUUUAAAGGGAGCGUAGAUGGGUUGUUAAGUCAGUUGUGAAAGUUUGCGGCUCAACCGUAAAAUUGCAAUUGAUACUGGCAGUCUUGAGUACAGGUGAGGUAGGCGGAAUGCGUGGUGUAGCGGUGAAAUGCUUAGAUAUCACGAAGAACCCCGAUUGCGAAGGCAGCUUACUAAACUGUGACUGACAUUGAUGCUCGAAAGUGUGGGUAUCAAACAGGAUUAGAUACCCGAGUAGUC